rnacentral:lncRNA from 12 species
CCCGGGGCCAGCCCGGCUCUGGAGGGGCCGGUUCACCUCCUGCACGGCUGCCCUCUGCUCACCCUCUCCCUGGGACAGCUCUCCCAGGCCAAGGGUUAGGUUUCCUCCCAAGGAUUAAGCGGGAGGCUCGUGUCAACAAGGUGGUCGUGGAGCUAGAGACAGAGCAGGAAGGACUCGUGAGGCCAACGGAGAAAGAUCCAACAAUUUCCAGGUGAAGGCAAAACUGGGGAUCAACAAACGUGCGCCAGUCCCAGCGUGAGGCACUUUGCGUCCCCAAUUGUUUCCAUGUGCGUGUCAGCAAAUGUUCAUCCUCCAGGCUAAAAAUAGAUGACCAGGCUGCCCCCUCCAUGAAAUCAGACAAGACUUGUGGUUCUUCCCAGGAGUGGUUAUUCAGAGUUAAGCUGUGAAAUUCGAACGGUUCGUUGAGUUUUCGGUGAUGAUUUCAAGGUAUUCUUCUCCUCAAGCACCGAAUUGGAGCUGCUAUUUUUUAAAAAAAAAGUCACGAUUUAACAAAUUUUAGAUAAUGAUGAAAAUGGAGAAGCCUAAUGAGAUGUACAAAUAGUGAGAAACUAAUAGUUAUAUUUAAGGAGUGAAUAUUUUUCCCUAAAAUUGAUGUAGUUAAGAUAUUUCUAUAUUGAUGGUUUUGAAGGGAUGGAUUCUUCUCCUGUAGAGAAAGCAACAGCAAAAUAUUUGAUACCUUGAAAGUGUUGUUGUGGGCAGACCUUCACACUAAUCUCUGCACAAAAUAGCAAAAUUAAAUAAUACUUCAUUAAAG